UUUGAGGAUGUACUAAAGAUGGGCAAG
rnacentral:piRNA from 1 species